AAAGCUCUGGUGGGAGUGGAGGCGGUGCGUGAAGUUCAGACCUCAGGCUCCACCUGCAGAGGAGAACUCCCAGAGCUGUCCGUGGUGCUGAAACCUUGGCUGCUGCAGCGACAGGAUCAUCACUGACAGCGCGCUGCUAUCUGGAGACUCCAGCCGCGUUGGAAGCAUGCGAUAGUUGAUCCUGAGUCAGGUUUCCAAAUCAGCGAAACAGGGAUGUUCUUGCUGACUCAGGACGAAAUAUGCAAUGAAAGUUUUUUUUCUUUUGUAGGAAAUUAACUCGGUGAAUAAUGAACGAAACAUUUAGCUAAUUCAAAUGCAACAAAACACACUGGAAGUCCUGUGAUUUAUCUAUCUGAGAUUUACAAAGUGUGAUUCACUUUGUAAUCUCAGUAAAGGUGUUUUUAGGGCUUUUCUUGGAUAACGUUUAAUAAACUGGCUUUGUUAUGCUUCCAGCAGCAAAUUCAAGUAUUGAUAUUUAGUUCUCUUCUGAGUGAUUAUGUGCAGGAGAAGCUUUAUAAAGAAGCCCCAGCCGACACCAGCCAAUUAGACGUGAUUAAAUCUCUCUGAGCGUGCCUCGGCCUGCUUCUCGGUUUACCUGAGGGCUUAUUAAUUUGCACCAGUGAUCCGUGCCCUGUUGUUUCUGCUUCCCCCCUGGGCUUAAGGGAAACUCCACACUCCGGUGUAAUCAGCUGCUGCCAGAUUUAACGCCGUGACGUCAAAAAGCAGACCCGGAGAUAAAGAAGAGCAAGCAGGGCGAUGCCAGUCCUCCCAGCAUCUGACCUCACAACUAAAGUUCAACGACAAGCGAUUUGAAAAGCACCCACACCUAGGAUGAGUGACGCACCCUACUGGGUUGUGGACUAUGAUUUCUCUUCCCCAGCUCCGCCCGGAUUCCCCAGGGGCUCGACAGCAUUGCAGCCCCCGGUGGGGCACCCUGAGCAGGGCUCGGCUCUGUGCUUUGUGGGCCUUCUGGUUCUGCUGCUGCUUUUCCUGGUGGUACGCUGCGUCCGCAUCUUACUCGAUCCUUACAGCAGUAUGCCUUCAUCCACAUGGACUGACCACAAGGGGCUGGACAGAGGGCAGUUCGAUUAUGCAGUGGUGUAAAGAGAAAGGGGGGACUGUGAAACAAGGGAAGGACGGAUCUAAAGUCCUUUUGACUAAUAUCCUGUUUGAGUUUUCAAAAAAAAUGCAAGACAUGUCAAAGCUGAUGAUUGGUUGGCAUAAAGGCGAGUUUCCAGGGUCCCUCUUUGUAAGAGUCAGUGCCUUGCAAAAGUAUUAGCACCCUUGAACACAUUUUCCCACAGGUUCUCAACUGGACCUCAGCGAUUUGAUUCAAACCAUUCCUUUGUCGCUCUGGUUGUGUUGGAUUGCCCUGGAUGUGUCAGUCUUAUGUGAUCAGACCACCGUCCUCUUGAAUGGAUGGAUGACUGAUUGCAGCAUGAAGCGCUUUAGGGGAUCCUCUGGACUUGAUAAAACCCUAUAAAAGUAAAGGCUAUUUACUAUUUCCACAUGUCAAUUUACUGCUUAGGCGUCUUCAGAGUCCAAUUGAUUGCUCUGUGUUUUAUUCAUGGUACGACAGGAAGGGCGGUAAAUAGAAACACACUUCACAUUCUUCCGAUAUUUAUUUGGGAAUAAUGUGAAAGCCAUCCCUCUUUUUCCCCUUCACAAUGAUGCAUUAUUUUGUGUGGUUCUAUCAUAUAAUCUCCAUAAAAUGCAAAGGGGCAUGAAGACUUUUGCAAGACACUGUGACAAUAUAAAAACAAUGACUGCAGAAGCCAUAUAUUCAUCUGAACCUGCAGUAAACAUCUUUGUUCUCGGCGUGGAGGUUAGAUGCUGCAGCGGCAAACAGAACCGGAGGGGAAAACAUCUGGAUCUUUACAUUACAUCAUUUGUAACUGUUCUUUUUCACGUCAUUUUGUGAUUCUGUAAUGCUUUUACAAAUCCCAGGGCUGGGUCAUAACUAGAUAUCCUGAUUGAAUAAAAGGGAAGUUAAAUGAGUUUGGAAUAGAUAUUCAGACUCAACUAAUACACGCUGUAAUGGUGGCUCUGGAGGCCUCAAACUAUAAAUGUGGUCUGUGCUGUUGUAAAGUAAAAAAAAAAAAAAAAAGAAAAGAAAAAAAAAGUCUAGUUUUUAUACCUAGGUGGGUGUUACAAUUUUAUUUUUAUUAAAAGUGUGUCUUCAGUGUGAAUCCUGUUGGAAUUUGCUAGGCCUGUGUGCCUAGCAAAAUGAAAACGACAGCCUGAAAUGGUUUAAAAAAUGAUUCAUUAUCUAAAGGUUUCCUGUCUACUGGUUCAUAAAAUGAAACUAUUCUUGUUCUUUGAUUGUUGCUUUUUUAAAUGAAAUUAAUUUUGACUUCAUGAGAAAAAAAAAAGAAAAAAAAAUCAGUAUAACACUUAGUGCAGGAGACUUUGUCGGAGGGUUUUGCUUUUUUAAGAGGCUUAUAGGGCUCAGUGCGCAGGGUCACAGCACUGACUGAUAACCAACCGCAUUAAGUUAUGAUUAUGAAAUACAUGUACACUGCCACCUUCCCCCUAAUCGGUUUUAUCUCCCUUCACUGCACCAACCAAAUCUGUCCAGCAGUGCCUUUGGAAAGAUCUGGGAUUUCCUUUAGAUGAAUAAAGUUCCUACUCCUGUAUUCACCUGUUUUGUAAUAUUUUCAGUUUACUUAAGUCUAAGUUGUAGUGAUAAUGACUGGGAGAAAGUUUGAUAAUAUACCUUAAUAUUGUGUUUGUACUACUUGUAUGUAAGCUCUUGUAAAACAUACAUAUGUUAAUAACAUGCUUCAA